GAUGAACGCUGGCGGCAUGCUUUACACAUGCAAGUCGAACGGGGAGUGGUGUUUCCGGUUGCGGACGUGUGAGUAACGCGUAAGAACCUGCCCUUGGGAGGGUAACAAGAGCUGGAAACGGCUUCUAAUACCCCGUAGGCUGAGGAGCGAAAGGAGGAAUCCGCCCAAGGAGUGGCUCGCGACUUAUUAUCUAGUUGGUGAGGUAAUAGCUUACCAAGGCCGUGAUCAGUAACGGGUCCGAGAGGAUGAACCGCAACACUGGGCCGGAGACAAGGCGAAGAAUCCUUCGGGAGGCGGCAGAGGGCAAACCGCAGAAAUGCGCGAAAGUCAAAAGGGGUAUUGCCGCGUAGAGGUAAAAGGCAUAAGGGUAACGAGUUUCUUAUCCUGGAGAACACACAAUGACGGUAUCUGGCGAAUAAGCAACGGCUAACUACGUG
rnacentral:rRNA from 1 species